AAGACUUUUCUUCUUCUUGGCCUUGUGUGUGUUGUUCUCAUCCUCAUUGUCUCCGAGGCCUCAGCUCGUGAGCUAGCUGAAACUACUACUCAAAUUAAUCCCAAUGGACGUGGUGGCUACAAUCGUGGAGGGUAAGGUACCAAUGGACGCAGUGGAUACAACCGUGGAGGAAAAGGUGGUCACGGACAUGAGCAAGAACCCUACAGUCGAGGAGGGAAAGGAUAUGGUCGAGACCAUGGGCACUAUGAAAAACCAGGACCUUGAACUACUGAGACUGAAACAAAGAAUUCAGUAACAUUUAGUCCUUAGAGUACUACUAUCUUUGUAUGUCAAUAAAAAGGUCAUUUGGUUGAGUUGUCUAAUGAACUCUCAAUCAUAAGCCUGCCUUUAAUUAAGGUUUAUCUAUGUACUCUACAUAAUGAUCAUAGUGUCAAAAUAUCUACCAAUUCAAGUUUAUUGUU